GCUUAGUCGNAAACUUAAAUAGUCCUAAAACANGACUACUCGCCAGAGUACUAUCGGCAACAGCCCAAAACUCAAAGGACUUGGCGGUGCUUCAUAUCCUUCUAGAGGAGCCUGUUCUGUAAACGAUAAACCACGAUUAACCUCACCAAUCCUUGCUACUUCAGUCUAUAUACCGCCAUCUUCAGCAAACCCUAAAAAGGAAUGAAAGUAAGCACAACUAUUGCACGUAAAAACGUUAGGUCAAGGUGUAACCUAUGGAUUGGGAAGAAAUGGGCUACAUUUUCUAUAAUAAGAACACCCCUUAAACUUACACGAAAGUUUUUAUGAAAUCUAAAAACUAAAGGAGGAUUUAGCAGUAAAUUAAGAACAGAAUGCUUAAUUGAAUAAGGCCAUGAAGCACGC
rnacentral:rRNA from 1 species